CAAACGCGAAAUGUGUUAUGACAUGCAAUCUUUGAGAAUCAUUUAAUCUUUGAACGCACCAUGUACCAAUGGAGGAAUCCGUUGGUGAGGCUGGUUGAGCAGGGGUAGGGUUAGGUAGGGGCGGGGAGUGUGCACAUACUGUACACACAGUGUACACAUCCCGCCUUAUAUUUGAGACAUCUGUUCGCAGAGUCUUUAAAGGAAACCACAAGAGAGAGAGGGAGGGAUGUUGAACGACUGUAGACAUUCUUCUUUCUCUCUCUCAAUUGCUUGGGAUAAUGAAAAAUGUUGCAAGCAGUAGUAAAGUGGAGAGUGCAUGAUUGUUACAAUCAAAUGCACACGAUUCACACACACACACCCUCUCAACUCGGCCUAGAUCACCCGCUGAACUUAA
rnacentral:misc_RNA from 1 species